rnacentral:rRNA from 1 species
UGUCUCAAGACUAAGCCAUGCAUGUCUAAGUAUAAACGCUUCUAUACUGUGAAACUGCGAAUGGCUCAUUAAAUCAGUUAUAGUUUAUUUGAUGGUUCCUUGCUACUUGGAUAACCGUAGUAAUUCUAGAGCUAAUACAUGCAGAAAGUCCCGACCUCUGGAAGGGAUGUAUUUAUUAGAUCCAAAACCGGCGCAGGUCCUCCGGGGCCUGGUUGCUUGGUGAUUCAUGAUAACUGCUCGAACCGUAUGGCCUCUCGUGCCGACGGUGCUUCAUUCAAAUUUCUGCCCUAUCAACUUUCGAUGGUACGGUAGUGGCCUACCAUGGUUGCAACGGGUGACGGAGAAUUAGGGUUCGGUUCCGGAGAGGGAGCCUGAGAAACGGCUACCACAUCCAAGGAAGGCAGCAGGCGCGCAAAUUACCCAAUCCCGACUCGGGGAGGUAGUGACAAUAAAUAACAAUGCCGGGCUAUCGUAGUCUGGCAAUUGGAAUGAGUACAAUCUAAAUCCCUUAACGAGGAACAAUUGGAGGGCAAGUCUGGUGCCAGCAGCCGCGGUAAUUCCAGCUCCAAUAGCGUAUAUUAAAGUUGUUGCA